rnacentral:rRNA from 1 species
CUACUUAAGAGACUGCCGGUGUUAAACGACGGAGGAGUGGGGAUGACGUCAAGUCCUCAUGGCCUUUAUGCUUAGGGCUACACACGUGCUACAAUGGGUGGUACAAAGAGAAGCCAACUCGCGAGAGUGCGCAAAUCUCAAAAAGCCAUCCUAAGUUCGGAUUGAAGUCUGCAACUCGACUUCAUGAAGCUGGAAUCGCUAGUAAUCGCGGAUCAGCAUGCCGCGGUGAAUACGUUCCCGGGCCUU